GACGGAGGAUGCAAGCGUUAUCCGGAAUGAUUGGGCGUAAAGCGUCCGCAGGUGGCAGUUCAAGUCUGCUGUCAAAGACCGGGGCUUAACUUCGGAAAGGCAGUGGAAACUGAACAGCUAGAGUAUGGUAGGGGCAGAGGGAAUUCCUGGUGUAGCGGUGAAAUGCGUAGAUAUUGGAAAGACCACCGAUGGCGAAGGCACUCUACUGGGCCAUUACUGACACUGAGAGACGAAAGCUAGGGGAGCAAAUGGG
rnacentral:rRNA from 1 species